GUGGGAGGACAAAUCUAUUUAUAGAUUAAAGCAAGCAUCGAAGAGUUGGUACGUCCAUUUUUAAUGAGAUAGUCAAAUUAUUUGACUUUAUCAAAGUAUAAAUAAAUUGUGCAUGUGCAAGAAGACAAGUGGAAGUUUCACUGACUUUUUGGUUUUAUAUAUGGAUGACAUACUGCAUAUUGGGAUUGAUAUCCCAAUAUUGCAA
rnacentral:lncRNA from 1 species